rnacentral:rRNA from 1 species
GACGAACGCUGGCGGCGUGCUUAACACAUGCAAGUCAAGGACUGUAGCAAUACAGGACUGGCGCACGGGUGCGGAACACGUAGGUAAUCUACCCUUUAGGGAAGAACAACCCGUCGAAAGACGGGCUAAAACUUCGUAAUAUCGAGAGAUGGCAUCAUUUUUCGAUCAAGCUUUCUAAGGGAUGAGCCUGCGUCUGAUUAGCUAGUUGGUGAGGUAACGGCUCACCAAGGCACGAUCAGUAGCUGGUCUGAGAGGAUGAUCAGCCACAUUGGGACUGAGAUACGGCCCAGACUCCUACGGGAGGCAGCAGUGAGGAAUAUUGCUCAAUGGGGGGAAACCCUGAAGCAGCAACGCCGCGUGAGGGAUGAAGGCGCUCUGCGUU